UAGUCAUAUGCUUGUCUCAAAGACUAAGCCAUGCAUGUCUAAGUAUAAACACCUUUAUACUGCGAAACUGCGAACGGCUCAUUAAUCAGUUAUCAUCUACUUGAUCGUCUUCUCUUACUUGGAUAACCGUAGUAAUUCUAGAGCUAAUACAUGCGAAAAGUCCUGACUGUGGCGACAUGGAAGGGAUGUAUUUAUUAGGUACAAAAUCAAUGUUGGUAGCGAUACCGACUUUCUAAGCGAUGAUUCAUAAUAACUAAACGAAGCGCAGUGAGCUAGU
rnacentral:rRNA from 1 species